AUCAGAGUGAGCUGCACCAGGACGGACGGAACUAGUGUAAAAAGAAGCGUGAAGCACUGCCAGAUCUGGUCUCCGGCCGAACUACUGUACGGCGACAGGCAGCAGACGCAUGUCGUCGACGGUACAGACCACCGGGCUCCCACGGCUGAUUACCACGGAGCGCACAGACGUCGGAAUUCCGCCGCUCCUCCUCUAGAUGGCGCGCUAGGCUCAGUCUGGCCUGCUUGCUGAUGUGCUCCUUUGUUUUUGCCUUUAUGGAAAAUAAAGACACUGCUUUCUACUUGGGUCUCUCUGCCUCCCUGCCAACAUCACAGAUAGCAAGAGAAUAAAAAGAAGAAUGAUGCACUGUAUGAUCUGCCCAUCACUGAGGAGCACCUGGUGUGUGGCUGGUCCUGAGGAUCGGGCAUGAGGAUGGAGAAGCCGUGAAAGAAAAUCGGGAGGAAGAUUGUAAAUGAUCAAGACAAUAACUGUAGGACAGUGUUAUGUGCUGAUCGCCUGUGAGGCAGUUUAACUAGGAGUAGGACAGUGUUAUGUGCUGAUCGCCUGUGAGGCAGUUUAACUGUAGGAGUAGGACAGUGUUAUGUGCUGAUCGCCUGUGAGGCAGUUUAACUAGGAGUAGGACAGUGUUAUGUGCUGAUCGCCUGUGAGGCAGUUUAACUGUAGGAGUAGGACAGUUAUGUGCUGAUCGCCUGUGAGGCAGUUUAACUGUAGGAGUAGGACAGUGUUAGGUGCUGAUCGCCUGUGAGGCAGUUUAACUGUAGGAGUAGGACAGUGUUAUGUGCUGAUCGCCUGUGAGGCAGUUUAACUGUAGGAGUAGGACAGUGUUAGGUGCUGAUCGCCUGUGAGGCAGUUUAACUGUAGGAGUAGGACAGUGUUAUGUGCUGAUCUCGUGUGUGUUAGAACUCUAGCAGCUAAAGCAGAGUUUAAAGCAUACUGGAGUUUGUUCAGAGUUGGGCCAAAAAAAUUAAUGAAGUUUUAAAAUAAAAGUUAAUAAAAGCAUAAACUCUCGUUGAAA